rnacentral:rRNA from 1 species
UACGUAGGGCGCAAGCGUUGUCCGGAAUUAUUGGGCGUAAAGAGCUCGUAGGCGGCCUGUUACGUCCGCUGUGAAAACCCAGGGCUUAACCCUGGGCUUGCAGUGGAUACGGGUAGACUAGAGGCAGGUAGGGGAGAAUGGAAUUCCCGGUGUAGCGGUGAAAUGCGCAGAUAUCGGGAGGAACACCGGUGGCGAAGGCGGUUCUCUGGGCCUGACCUGACGCUGAGGAGCGAAAGCGUGGGGAGCGAACAGG